UGGGGAAUAUUGGGCAAUGGGCGCAAGCCUGACCCAGCAACGCCGCGUGGAGGAUGAAGGGCUUUCAGCUUGUAAACUCCUGUAAAGAAGGAAAAAAUUCCCAUUAGAUGGGAAAUGAUGGUACUUCUAAAGUAAGCCCCGGCUAACUACGUGCCAGCAGCCGCGGUAAUACGUAGGGGGCAAGCGUUGUCCGGAUUUACUGUGUGUAAAGGGUGCUCAGGCGGAUUUGUAAGUCAGAGGUGAAAUCUCACAGCUUAACUGUGAAACUGCCUUUGAUACUGCAAGUCUAGAGUAUGGAAGAGAGUGAUGGAAUGGCUGGUGUAGCAGUGAAAUGCGUAGAUAUCAGAUAGAACACCAAUGGCGAAGGCAGUCACUUGGUCCAUUACUGACGCUAAAGCACGAAAGCGUGGGUAGCAAACA
rnacentral:rRNA from 1 species